rnacentral:rRNA from 1 species
UGCCUCAGUAACGGCGAGUGAAGCGGCAAGAGCUCAAAUUUGAAAGCUGGCCCCCUCGGGGUCCGCAUUGUAAUUUGCAGAGGAUGCUUCGGGAGCGGCCCCCAUCUAAGUGCCCUGGAACGGGCCGUCAUAGAGGGUGAGAAUCCCGUCUGGGAUGGGGUGUCCGCGCCCGUGUGAAGCUCCUUCGACGAGUCGAGUUGUUUGGGAAUGCAGCUCUAAAUGGGUGGUAAAUUUCAUCUAAAGCUAAAUACUGGCCGGAGACCGAUAGCGCACAAGUAGAGUGAUCGAAAGAUGAAAAGCACUUUGAAAAGAGAGUUAAACAGCACGUGAAAUUGUUGAAAGGGAAGCGCUUGCGACCAGACUCGCUCGCGGGGUUCAGCCGGCAUUCGUGCCGGUGUACUUCCCCGCGAGCGGGCCAGCGUCGGUUUGGGCGGCCGGUCAAAGGCCCUCGGAAUGUAACGCCCCCCGGGGCGUCUUAUAGCCGAGGGUGCCAUGCGGCCAGCCCGGACCGAGGAACGCGCUUCGGCUCGGACGCUGGCAUAAUGGUCGUAAGCGACCCGUCUUGAAACACGGACCAAGGAGUCUAACAUCUACGCGAGUGUUCGGGUGUCAAACCCGUGCGCGCAGUGAAAGCGAACGGAGGUGGGAACCCCUCGGGGUGCACCAUCGACCGAUCCUGAUGUCUUCGGAUGGAUUUGAGUAAGAGCGUAGCUGUUGGGACCCGAAAGAUGGUGAACUAUGCCUGAAUAGGGCGAAGCCAGAGGAAACUCUGGUGGAGGCUCGCAGCGGUUCUGACGUGCAAAUCGAUCGUCAAAUUUGGGUAUA